GUUGACUUAUGCUGCAAAAUACAAAGGCAAUAGGUGUUUGCUUUAGAAGGAAAGAAAUACUGGAUGUGCAUGUAUACACCCAAGAACUUGCCAGUCAAGAUGAAAAACUUCUUCUAAUGGAAUCCAGCUUGAAAGCAACUCAAGAGCAGCUAAGUGAGCAAACAGCAGAAACAGUUCGCCAAGAACAGAACAGUAGAAAAUCACAGACGGAGAGCUGAAGACCCUGAGAAAACAUAUUCUAACUUCUGAAGAAGAAAUUAGUGAUUACAAGGUAAAAACAUUUUCUGCUAAUUUCCCAGGGUGCUCCAAAUAAACUUAUUUCAUACGGAAACAGCUGAAAGUUUUUAGAAGUCAAAGGCUUUGUUUGUUGCAUACUUAUCCUGGAUGAAAUAAACCCAAGAGACAUGAUGAUGUGCACCAUAUGGAGCUACAACUGAGGCAGAAGCUCUCCCAUCCAUCACAAACGGUUCACUUUGCCAUUGUCAAACUUAUGACUGCAUAACUCCUAUUUUGUUUAAAAGAAUCAGAAAAAGUGUGGAAGGCUUAAAGUAGGAAGUCAUUAAAGAAGAUGGCAAGUGACAUAAAUAUGAAAAUCAUAGAACCCCAGAAACAUGGAGCAGUUUGAGUUUGAAGACAUCUUUACAGGUCAUCUAGUUCAAACUUCCAUGCAAUGAGCAGGGAUAUCUCGAACUACAAGAGAUUGCUAAGACUCCAGUCCAAUCUGACCAGUAAUGUUUCCAGGGAUGGGGUAUACACCACCUCUCUGGGCAACCUGCUCCAGGGUCACACCACCCUCAUUGUAAAAUACUCCUUCGUUAUAUCAAACCGAAGUUGACCUUCUAUGUGUUUAAAACCAUUACCUCUUGCCCUAUUGCAACAGACCCUGACAAAAUGUUUGUCCUCAUCUCUCUCACAAAGUUCUUUUAAUUACUCAAAGGCUACUUUAAUUACUCAAAGAGCCUUCUCUUCUGCAGCUUGAAGAACCCCAGCUUUCCUCACAGAGGAGAUAUUUCAUCCCUCCAAUCAUCUUCCUGGCUGUCCUGUGGAUUCACUCCAACAGGUACAUGUCAUUCCUGUGCUGAGGACAUCAGAGCUGGAUUCAGUAUUCCAGGAGGGGUCUCACAAGAACGAAGAGAAUGAAUCACCUCCAUAGACUAGCUGGCCACCUCUUCUUCCAGUGUAGCUCAGGAUGUGGUUGACUUUCUGGACUGCAAAUACAAAUGCUUUGCUUGCUCAAGUCCACCCUUUCAUGCACCAGGACCCACAAGUCCUCAGCAGAACUGUUCUCAAUUUUCCAACCUGUAAGAUUGUUAAAUUUGAUCAGCAUAAGAUCUAUUAGAUGUCCUCUGGGUAUGAGUUAUUGCCUAACUGAAAAGCUAGCAUAGAAAAUUUUUAUGAUAUUUUCUCAGUGUUUCAUUUUGGGGCAUUAUACCUUAAAGUUGUACCAUGCUGAAAAGUAAAAAUUGAAUCAGUGUAAAAAACUAAAUGGACACAUGCAAUAUUGUGUAUCAAAAAGUAAACAUUUUUUGAGCCCAGGGAAAUAAGUUUUUGAGCUUUAUUUGACAAAAUGGCUCAGCAUAGCUUAAAAGAGUAUGAGAGGAGUUCUGAAAUGGCACCUGUCUGCUUAUCCAUUUGUAAUAUUGACAGAACAUAGAUUUGUAGUAUGCAGAGUUGACAAUUUCCAACCGGAUGUUGAAGCACUGAUCUACAUGACAGGAAUUGUGAUCAUUAGUUGCCAUGCUUGAAAAGGAUGUGGACAGAUUCAAUGUGGUUAGGUGCAAUCAGUCCUGAAAUUAAUGCAUAAAUGGAAGAGACACUUUUUCAUUAUUGCCUACUUUGGGGGAAACAGUGGGUGCACUACUGUCAGAGUUCAGACUGAUAGAUAUUGAUACAAAUCAUUUUUAUAUGAUCUGCCUAUUUAUUAGAAUUGCUUUUCUGCUUUCUAUAUGGAAGUUCAUGAUGCAUUACAUUCUGAACUUCCUAAUGUUCAGAUUGCUGUUCUCAUUGCAAGAAAUAAUGAAAUGGAUUCAUUACUUUAUUCUUAAAAUGUUCUGAUUUAUUUUAGGAUAUAACUUCUUCAGGGAUUUCAUAUACCCUUUUGUUGUCUACUUCAUUUAUUUUAUUGUAAAAGGCCACAUAUUAUAUAUAUUUUGAGGAUAAAAAAUUUCAACAAAUAUUUUUAGAUUAUGCAUGCACACAAAUAGAAACAAGGACAAGGUCCUGAGAAGAUACAAAUUCCUACAAAUGUUUUCAGCAUUAGUAAAAAUCAUUAUUUUUAAUGUAAUGAUGAAGAAAGAGGAAUUAAGAUGACAGGCAAUUGCUUUUUUAGUUGCAUCUCUACAAAAUAAGCAAUUUUUUGGUAUAGUUUUAAAUUUUCUUUUGAGAUUAUAUUUUGCAAAACAUGGUGCACUCACUUUGAAUCUAGAAAUGAAAGCUCAAUCAAAUAAUAAUCCAUUAGUACCUAAAAUUUUGCAUAUGUGGGGGAUUCCUCUUUAUGUAUUUACCUUUGAAUUCAGAAGAUGAAACUGUGAAAGCUGAAAGAAACUACUGUGAGUUCUCUGGACACAAAGAUAUUAAAAGGAAAUUAAAACUACUACAAUGAUACAAACAAUCUGAUUAAAAAUUAUUUAUUAGUCUAAGCCUGUAGCACUACUCCUGAGCUUCAGGCAUUAUCCCUCUAGAGAGUUAUACUUCUGAAGGAAAAGAAGAAAAUAUAUCCUUCACUGCUAAUUUGAAAAAAAAAUCAAACUAUUUUGAAGGUGAAUGUAUGACUAGAACACAAAAAGUAGGAGUAGGAGGGCAAAAUGAGAUAUGAACACAAAUGUAUCAUUAAUGUAAACCUGAGAACAACUAACCUCUGGUAUUUUCAAAUGGGUUUGGGUGCUUGAACUUUACCUUCAUCUCUACAUUAUUUUUAGAGAGAGAAUUCUACAUGCAUUUCUUCCAAAUUCCUCCUAUGCUUUAUUUCAAAUGUAGAAUAUUUGUGUUAUUACCCUUUAUCUCUCUUGCUACUUCAAUAAUGCUUCUUAUGUCAUCUUAGUACUGUAAAGGCUUCACUUUUUAGCUUUUUAAUUUACUUAUAGUCUGUUCUGUGACACCUAAGGUGUUUUUCUCUGUACAACUUCAUGAAAUAAAUACCUGCCUAAAAAUGCA